rnacentral:rRNA from 1 species
UACGUAGGGUGCAAGCGUUGUCCGGAAUUAUUGGGCGUAAAGAGCUCGUAGGCGGUUUGUCGCGUCUGCUGUGAAAACUCGGGGCUUAACCCCGGGCCUGCAGUGGGUACGGGCAGACUAGAGUGCGGUAGGGGAGACUGGAAUUCCUGGUGGUAGCGGUGAAAUGCGCAGAUAUCAGGAGGAACACCGGUGGCGAAGGCGGGUCUCUGGGCCGAUACUGACGCUGAGGAGCGAAAGCGUGGGGAGCGAACAGG